CCCUUAGAUGUUCUGGGCAGCACGCGCGCUACACUGACAUGUUCAACAAGCCUCCUAGUUCGACAGGAUUUGGGAAAUCUUUGAACGCAUGUCGUGAUAGGGAUAGAUCAUUGCAAUUAUUGAUCUUGAACGAGGAAUUCCUAGUAAACGCGAGUCAUCAGCUCGCAUUGAUUACGUCCCUGCCCUUUGUACACACCGCCCGUCGCACCUACCGAUUGAAUGUUUCGGUGAAGAUUCCGGAUAGGACUUUUUUGAUUUAUUUCAAUUUUGUCUUAAAAGCUAUCUAAACCUCAACAUUUAGAGGAAGGUGAAGUCGUAACA
rnacentral:rRNA from 1 species